AGCUAUUUCCUAAUAUAGAAGCUUCCGUUAAUCCUAUUACAUUGAUAAUAUUUUAGAAAUAGUGCUAAUCUAUUCUGUCAUUCUUCUUCUAGACCUUCUAUUGUGAAUGAAUAGUCCCUCUUAUUCAUGGUUGGAUACAAAUGAAUUCUGAAUUGAAAUUAAUGCAAAAUGGAGCCUCUGGGCAUACUGCAGCAGAGACUUCUCAAGAUCUUCAAGAACAUGGAAUCACCUCUAUAGAUUGGCUGCCAUAUUCACCAGAUUUGAACCCAAUUGAAUCUGUAUGAAAUCUUAUGAAGCAGUGGAUACAAGAGAAUCAUGAAGAUUCAGAGAAUCUUUCUUAUGAUACACUUUGAAGGGUGGUUAGAGCUGCCUGGGAUUCAAUAACAGAGGGGCAAUUACAAGAACUUAUAGCAGAGAUGCCAGCUCACUGUCAGGCUGUUAUACAGGCAGGUGGUGGCUAUACUAAAUAUUAAUAUGAUUGAUUCUACAGAGUAUUCUGCUUAAUGAAAAACAUGCUCAAACGCGAGAAUGCCACAGAUCCCCCCAGAAUGAACGUUAGAAUGCCACUAAAAUAUUAGGGUGGUUCUAACAAAAACACCGGGGUUAACCUGCGUAAUAUCAUUGAAUUUUAACCCACAUUGUUGUAAAGAUUGACAUCCAAUCAUUUCAGCUAUAAAAUGAAGUAACUUUUGUGCCCCUAUGAUUCUUAAACUUCGCUUCGCUCUGUCUAAUAA
rnacentral:sRNA from 1 species